UACGUAGGGGGCAAGCGUUGUCCGGAAUCAUUGGGCGUAAAGCGCGCGUAGGCGGCCCGGUAAGUCCGUUGUGAAAGUCAAAGGCUCAACCCUCGAAUGCCGGUGGAUACUGUCGGGCUAGAGUGCGGAAGAGGCGAGUGGAAUUCCUGGUGUAGCGGUGAAAUGCGCAGAUAUCAGGAGGAACACCAAUUGCGAAGGCAGCUCGCUGGGACGUAACUGACGCUGGAGACGCGAAAGCGUGGGGAGCAAACAGG
rnacentral:rRNA from 1 species